UACGUAGGGGGCUAGCGUUGUCCGGAAUCAUUGGGCGUAAAGAGCUCGUAGGCGGCUGCUCAAGUCGAAUGUGAAAACUCGAGGCUCAACCUCGAGCCUGCAUUCGAUACUGGGCGGCUAGAGUCUGGUAGGGGGAUCUAGAAUUCCUGGUGUAGCGGUGGAAUGCGCAGAUAUCAGGAGGAACACCGGUGGCGAAGGCGGGUCUCUGGGCCGAUACUGACGCUGAGGAGCGAAAGCGUGGGGAGCGAACAGG
rnacentral:rRNA from 1 species